rnacentral:tRNA from 1 species
GUCUCUGUUGCGCAAUUGGUUAGCGCGUUUGGCAGUUAACCGGAAGGUUGGUGGUUCAAGCCCACCCAGGGACG